rnacentral:tRNA from 1 species
GAGAGUGUGGUGUAGUAGGUUGAGCACUGGACUACAACUCUGGAGACCAGGGUUCAAAUCCCUGUUGAGCCA